rnacentral:misc_RNA from 1 species
GAUGAAGAACGUAGCGAAAUGCGAUAAGUAAUGUGAAUUGCAGAAUUCAGUGAAUCAUCGAAUCUUUGAACGCACAUUGCGCCCGCCAGUAUUCUGGCGGGCAUGCCUGUUCGAGCGUCAUUACAACCCUCAGGCCCCCGGGCCUGGCGUUGGGGAUCGGCGGAAGCCCCCUGCGGGCACAACGCCGUCCCCCAAAUACAGUGGCGGUCCCGCCGCAGCUUCCAUUGCGUAGUAGCUAACACCUCGCGACUGGAGAGCGGCGCGGCCACGCCGUAAAACACCCAACUCUUCUGAAGUUGACCUCGAAUCAGGUAGGAAUACCCGCUGAACUUAAGCAUAUCAAUAAGCGGAGGA